rnacentral:lncRNA from 1 species
AAAAAUCAAAACUUGGAAUCAAGACAAUGAAUCAAAAUUAAACUAACUACGUUCUAACCUUUUCAUCCGAUUAAAAAAUCAAAAUUAAUACAUAAAAACUCUAACUUUCAAUCCAAUAAAAAAAUUAAAACUAAAAUCCUUAGAAAUUCUAACUUACCUUCUCUAGGAUUCCUCUAUGGUGGUGCGGCUGCUCCUCUCUUCCUUGCCCGACCUCUCUUUGUUCCCUCGAAAUAAUGUCUCCGUGUUCUCUCAAAAAAUUCUUUCUUACGUGGAUCUCUGCUCCCAAAGACUAGGUCCUCCU